CCCUUAGAUGUUCGGAACUGCACGCGCGCUACACUGAAGGAAGCAGCGUGUUAGAGCGCCUGGCUUGAAAGAGCUGGGUAAUCCGGUGAAUGUCCUUCGUGAUUGGGAUAGGGACUUGUAAUUAUUUCCCUUGAACGAGGAAUACCUAGUAAGUGCGAGUCAUCAGCUUGCGCUGACUACGUCCCUGCCCCUUGUACACACCGCCCGUCGCUACUACUGAUUGGGUGUUCAAGUGAGAUGCUUAGACCCUUGUUGCAUGGUUCAUUAUUGUGCUCCGAAAGGAAAAAGUUCCAAGCUCGAGUGUCUAGAGGAAGUAAAAGUCGUAACA
rnacentral:rRNA from 1 species